GUAGGCAUCGUUUAAAAAAGACAUCAGAUUGUGAUUCUGAAAAUAAGGGUUAAAACCCCUUUGCCCACC
rnacentral:tRNA from 1 species